rnacentral:rRNA from 1 species
UACGGGGGGGGCAAGCGUUGUUCGGAAUUACUGGGCGUAAAGCGCGCGUAGGCGGCUUUGUAAGUUAGAGGUGAAAGCCCGGAGCUCAACUCCGGAACUGCCUUUAAGACUGCAUCGCUAGAAUUGUGGAGAGGUAAGUGGAAUUCCGAGUGUAGAGGUGAAAUUCGUAGAUAUUCGGAAGAACACCAGUGGCGAAGGCGACUUACUGGACACAUAUUGACGCUGAGGUGCGAAAGCGUGGGGAGCAAACAGG